AAAAGGCAAUUUAAGGAGACAAGGUCUGCCUCUGGGGUUCAUCCCAUAACAGUGAGGAUGUUCCCAAAGAGCUCGACCUUUUGAAAGGAUCUCUUUGAGGUCUAUCAUGCAGGACUGUUAUUUGGUAUAGUAACUUCUUUGUGAAUCCAGGCCAAUGCUACACCAUCAGGUGGAGAAAGUGCUAUGUAAGUCCCAACUAUGUAAAGGAGAUCAACCAUGCUAUUUCUUAAAAUUACCUCUCAAGUUCUAGAGGAUCCCCAAUGGCCUUCCAUAUCUGGAGAGUUCAUGCUCUUACCCCAUUCCAUAAAUCAGAACAAGGCCCAUCUCAGCCUCUUUUUUUAGGGCCGUAAUUACUUGUCCUCCUGCCGCAUCCUACCUGGCCCCCCACCCUCCACUGCUCAUCUACCCUCUGCUGGCCUGCUCCCAGAUGCAGGAUAUUCUCCUGAGGUACAGCGAUAAGACCUUCCCCUCGAUCAUUCAGGGUCCCAACAGGAAUAGGAGAGCACGCUGAACAUAAGAUAAACUUCUACAUGUGUAGGUACAAGGGAACUCCAAGGAUAGUGCUGUAACUUGGGGCUAGUAACAGUAGAGCUAUUACCAACCCCUCCCAAGGGAAGGGAGUAUAUAAUCUGUUACCAGAAUGCAGAGAACCUAGAAGGAGUCAAGUGACCAAAGGACACAGCCAGACAAGAUGACUUCACAAGGUGGGAGCUAGAAAAAUAUGUACACUCAUGUUACUCUCCUUCCCGCCCCUCUGUCCAUUCCCAUCUCCUAUGAAGCUCUCCAUUGGUCAAACCCACCUGAAGCCAGAGGGACCUUGAUAGUAAGGUCUGUAAUUGUCGGGGAGUCCUCUACAGCAUGCAUUCUCAUGAAGGCUGUGAUCAUCCCCAAGGAGACAAAACUUGGCUCUUGGGACAUGAAAAGAACUUAAAUGUGGCUAGUGGCCCUCCAAAGGGUCGAAGUACAUAAACAGAUACAGAGUAUACACAUGCUAUGAAAAUUUCAUGAAGAUGGUGCAAUUAGGAUAAAAAUAUCUCGGGCAGCCCGGGUGGCUCAGCGGUUUAGCGCCGCCUCCAGCCCAGGGUGUGAUCCUGGAGACCUGGGAUCAAGUCCCACGUCGGGCUCCCUGCAUGGAGCCUGCUUCUCCCUCUGCCUGUGUCUGUGUCUCUAUCUCUCUCUCUCUGUGUAUCUCAUGAAUAAAUAAAUAAAAUUUUAAAAAAAAGAUAAAAAUAUCUCCAAGAGUACUUGGCAAGGGAGGGAGCCAUAAUGAAACAUAGGUUAAGAAGCACUGGAUUAUAGUGACCCAAAAUUCUCUCUUGGGCUGACACUGAGAGCUUCAAAUCUCUCACCCUCAAUAUUAUCAAUAUACAUUUAUAUGUACUCUCUGUGUAUAAUAAAAAACAAAGUGCCAUUUGAAUUAUUUUUCACUCAAGGCUUUACUCAAACUAUCCUUGCCCAUGGUGAACAUCAGACCGUUUCGUGAGUCUCCUGCGCCUCCCUGCCGCUUACAGCUUUUGGCUGAUAUUUCCCCACAGAGAAGAGUUCAGCAUCAUCCGCAAGCCAGACAAUUUCAAGGACCUCGCAAUGUCACGGGAGACGUCACAAAGUCAACAAGGAGGUGGGGUUUGCUCAAGUGCUCCAUAAUCCUGCCCUGAGAGGUGCUGCUGGCUCGCUCUGCAUGGAAACAAAACUCAUAGGCCACUUCCCAGAAGCCCCUCUGGCACAGAGGUCAGUCUUUAGAAAAGGCUCUCAUUUUGUCCUGCUCUUCCACCUUGUCGAUCUUCUUAUUUAUUUGAUGGAAAGACAUGUAAGCAAAAUGAAAAUAAAAUACAGAGUGCUUGCUUUCCAUGACUUAGAGAUUUAAGGCACUUGUUAGUCAUCUGAACACGUGCAGAAGAUAGUGGUAGGUUAUCUGUAUCACAUUUCAUUUUAUGACAUAUCACCUUGUUUACAUGCUUCUUUAGGUUGUUUAUAGGAUAUAGAAUACCUUUCAACGCUCUGGUCUUGUUUCGUCAUUUUUUUUCUCCCAUCAAUAAAAAAUUUUAAAGGCAGCCAUUGUUCUAAGGAAUGACUAUCGUACUUAGGGCACAAAGAUGCUUUAAUGGGGAAAGACAGUUUGUCUUGUAUCUUGGCUUCCCAUAUCUUUUUGAACCAGGCUUUGAUGCUCUGUGAAGUUUUCUGACUCCAUCGUUGAGCUAUGCAGCAUUUUGCAGUUAUUAAGAGCAAAUGAGUUUCUUCUUUAAACACAAGCCUCUGCUUAGCACAUUUAGUACUAUUUGACUUGGGUCUCAAGAUAGUGCUAUUCCCGGAAUGGACUUCACAUGCUGAAUUUUUUUUUUUAAAUUACCCACAAUCCUAUC